rnacentral:lncRNA from 1 species
UUCCUUUGUCAGGAUGAAGCUCAACGAGCUAUGGGGACUUCAUUAGAGAGAGACCCUAGAAGGUUCGAAGGAGAAGAAAGAGAAACAGAGAAAUAAAAUUUGGAAAAUAUCUGUCUAACCUUUUAUUUCUCAACUUGUUCAGUAUUUAUAUUUACAGGAAAAAUGUGUGUAAAAUAAAAAAAAUUAAUACUACACUUAUACAAUGCAUUGAAUAUAAAAGAAUAAGGAAUAAAGGAGACUGGUCCAGAUCAUAGUGUUGGGCCAGCUGUGUGUGCAGCAGACUGGGCUCUAAUACUCCCCUCAAGCUUGAGGGUGAUGAAACACCAAGCUUGCCAAGAAUACCAUAAUGCAGCUGGCUGGGUAAUGCUUUAGUCAUAAUAUCUGCUAGCUAUCCUGAAGAAAAGACAAAAUGCAAAGUAAGAAAACCAGCAGUGACGCACUCCCUCACAUAAUGGCAAUCAAUCUCGAUGUGUUUGGUUCGCUCAUAAAAAAUAGGGUUCUUGACUAUGUGGAAGGCAGUUUGACUGUCACAAUAGACAGGAACAAGAUAUAAAAUAACCAAACCAAGGUCACCCAAAAGCCUGACCAACUAAACAACGUCUGCAACCAGCUUCCUCAAUGCUCUAUAUUCAUCCUCAGCUGAAGACAAAGAGAUGGUAGGAUAUUUCUUACUCUUGCAGGACACAAGACUGCCACUAAGAGAUAUGUAAAACCUACUCACAGACUUGCGAGAGAUGGCACAAGAUCCCCAAUCAGAGUCAGAAAAUCCCACAAGAGACAAAUCAUCAGAACUAGAGAGCAGUAUACCUUGAGCAGGAUCAUUCAUAAGGUAUCUUAGAACAUGGAUAACUGCCAUCAUAUGAGGUACCUGGGGCUUCUGAAGAAACUGACUUAGGUAUUGAACAAAGAAAGAAAUAUCAGGUGUUGUAUGUUGGAGGAAAUUCAAUUUCCCAAUUAAUCUUCUGUAUAUAUUAGGAUCAGAAACAGGAGUACCCAUGUCCAUAGUAAGCUUAACAUAAGAAUCCAAAGGAGUAGUAACAGGGGAGAAGUGAUGAAAGUUGAAUUCUUGAAGGAGAUCAGUGGUGUACUUUUGUUGAUUCAUUAAGUAUCCUUGGGGAUGCUGAGAAAUUUCCAAACCUAGGAAGUAGUGCACCAAACCUAGAUCCUUGAUUUUAAAUUGAGAGUCCAAGAAUUGUUUUAAAGAGUUAAGUUCAGAAAUGUCAUCAACAACUAACAAUAUAUCAUCAACAUAGACUGCCAAUACAACUAGAGAAUCAGAAGAGGACUUUGUGAAGAGGGAAUAGUCAUUGAGACUAGAAAUGUAGCCUCUGGAGUGCAGUGCUUCAGACAAUUUAGAAAACCAUUGCCUAGAAGCCUGCCUGAGGCCAUAUAAAGACUUCUUGAGUCUAUAAAUAAAAGGAGAAGAUUCAGAAGUAGAAGAGACAUCCAUCUUAGGUGGGAUCUUUAUAUAAACUUCCUCAUGAAGGUCAUCAUGGAGAAAAACAUUGUUCACAUCCAACUGAAAAAUAGUCCAACCCAUUUUCACAACUAAGGCCAGGAGACAUUUGAUGGUUGUCAGCGUGACAACAGGUGAAGAGGUCUCAGUGAAGUCAAUACCUUCUCUCUGAGUAUCCCCUCUAAUAACAAGCCUUGUUUUGUAUAUCUCAAUGGAACCAUCUGCCCUUUGUUUAAUCUUGUAAACCCACUUACAAGGGAUGACCUUUUUGUGAGGAGGAAGGGGAACAAUGUCCCAAGUUUGAUUGGACUCAAGAGCCUGAAAUUCCUUUAGCAUUGUCUCUUGCCAAGCAGGAUGCGAAGCUGCCUGCUGGUAAUAUUGAGGUUCAUGCACAUGUAGCUAAGUUUAGGACACCUUAGAUAUUGCAGAAAUAGGAGUAAGAGGAAGGAUAGAGUUACAGACAUAGUCUUGAAGGUAGGAUGGUUGAAUGAUAGUUCUGGUGGAUUUUCUUAAAGCAGGAGCAAGUGGUGGAAGUGGAGAAGGCUGAUCCACACAAGGUGGAAUGGGGGCAGAAUAAGAAAGAAGGAGAAGGAAGAAGUGAGGCAGAGGAUGCAUCAGGAAUGUUUGUUUCAGCAAUAGGAAGGGAGGAAAUAUUAAAUGUUGUAGGCACUUCUGUUGCAUAAGUAGGAGCAGGAGCAGAAGAUGUAUCAAUAUCCACAAAAGGUGGAAAAGUGGAGGGAGGAGUGGUAGAAGAUGUUGUUGAACCAUAAGGGAAGAUGUGUUCAUGGAAUACCACAUCCCUAGAGUAAAAAAUAGAAUAAUUAGAAAGGUUCAUGAGUUUUUAACCCUUCUUGCCACCGGGAUAUCCUAAGAAAAGACUAUGUAUAGCUCUAGAUUAGAACUUGUAUCCCUUCCAAACUUGGGAGAAGUUGCAAAGCAUAAGGAACCAAAAGACUUUAAGUGAACAUAAGAAAGUGGAUUUCCAUGCAGUUUUUCAUAAGGAGAAAUGUUGUUUAAGACAGUUAGAGGCAUUCUAUUGAUCAGGUAGGUAGCAGUUAGUAUACAAUCACCCCAGAAUUUGCGAGGAAGUUUAGAUUGGAAAAAGAGAGCUCUAGAAACUUCCAAUAAAUGUUUAUGUUUUCUUUGCACAACACCAUUUUGUUGUGGUGUAUGUGGAAUAGUAGUUUGAUGUAGAAUACCUUGGUUGCUUAAGAAAGCAGUAGCUUUAGAGCUGCUACCAAGCUCAUAAGCAUUAUUAGACCUGAAAGUAUGGACUAAGGAUUGAAAAUGUGUUUUGACCAUAGAGGUGAAUGCUUUUAACACAGAAAGAGCAUUACCUUUACAAGAUAAAAGAUGGGUCCAGGUAGCUCUACUAUAGUCAUCAACUAAAGUUAAGAAGUAUAUAAAUCCAUUGUAUGUCCUAGUAUUAUAGGGUCACCAAACAUCAAUGUGAACCAGCUGAAAAGGAGCAGUGGAAUGAAUGUGGCUGUCAUAAAAAGGUAAUCUUUGUUGUCUAGCUACUGGAUAAAUAGAGCAUAUGAAAGACUGCUUUGAAGAAACUUUAUCAGACAAGAAUGAAAUAGAUAUCAUUAUAUGAAAGGCAUAUGCCCUAACCUUUGGUGUCAAAACAAAUCCAUUUUAUUCAUAGUAGAUGUCUGAUUACAUGGCAGAUUAUUUACAGAAAUUGGAAGAAAACAGACUUAUUGCAAGAAAUAGAAUUUGAAAGAACAGAAGAAACAUGUUGAGAUGGAAACAAUUCAGCAUUAGGAUGUAGAUAGUAUAGUCUUCCAGCAGCCUUACCAAUUACCGGUGGCCUCUUCAGAGAAGAGCCCUGUAAAGAACAAUUAAAUUUGGUAAGAAUAGCUAUACAAUUCAGCUGGGAUAUUAGUUGAUGUAUAGAUAUUAGAUUAAAAUGAAAGGAAGGCACAAGAAGGACAUUGAGUAAAGUUAUGUCAUGCCUGAGAUAUAAAGAGCCAGUUGACAACACUUUAACUUUAUAUCCAUUAGAUAGAGUGACAAGAAAUGGUUUAGGUAAAGGUAUAAGGUUGUAAAGUAAGUGUUUGUGUGGAGUCAUCUAAUUUAUUGCCCCUGAGUAUAAUAUCCAAGGAUUUACACCUAAUUGAGAAGAUGCACAUACAUGAAAAUCAGUAGAUUCUGCAGCAUAAUCGGUGAACAAACCUGCAAAAUGUGCAAAUCCAGAUUUCUCAACAUGAAGAUUGUCAAAUCCAGCACUAGAAGACACCUGGACUUGUUGGAAUAAAGUUAUUAGGUGAUGAUACUGUUCCUUGGUGAAACCAUGGGCAGAAUUCUCAGUAGAUGGUUGAGGAGAAACUGCAAACUGAUUGAUUGGGAUGUCAGACUGGACACAUGAGGCUGAUUUCUUGCCUUUGGUAAAUUUGAAAUCUGCAGGAAAAUCAUGUAAUAUAUAGCAUUUCUCCAUUGUGUGUCCAGGUUUCUUGCAGUAUUUGCAAGAAACAGAGUUGGGUUUCCUGGAGUUAAAGUUGAUCUUUGAUUGAAAUUUCUAUUUGGUGUUGUUGAGGAUACAGAGAAGGAGGAAGAUUCAUUAGAAAAAUUUGUAACUGAAGCUGGAGUUUCUCUUUGACUCUCAUCUUGUUGUAAGAGAGAGUAAGCUUUGCUUAUUGGUGGUAAGGGAUUUAUGAGCAUAAUAGCACUCUUCACAUUUGAAUAAGAGUCAUUUAGCCCAUUUAGGAAUUGAAAUAGUUGUUGAUCCUCUAUAAACUUGGGAAGAGCUCCACAAGAGCAUAUAGGGCCUACAUAUGAGGAAUUUAAUUUAUCCCAAAGACUCCUAAAUUUGGUAAAGUAGGUGGCAAUAUCAGAUGACCCUUGGAUAGUUGAACUGAUUUCUCUCUGAAUUUGAAGAUAUUUAAACCCAUUGGACUGUCCAAAUCUUUCAUUAAUGUCAGUCCAAACCUCCUUUGCAGCCCUAAAACACAUGACACUUGUGGCUAUGUCUAUGGAAACAGAGUUGAUAAUCCAAGACUCUCCCAAUAGUAAUAAAAAAGGAGAGUUGGCAGGAGGUUGGGCAAUUCUCCCAUCUAACAAACCUAAUUUAUUUUUAGCAGAAAGAGAAGUAAGCAUGCUACUUCUCCUCAAUACAAAACCAUGUCCAUUGAAGGGAACAUGUACUAAUUGGCUACCCGGAUUGUCUGAUGGGUACACAUAGAAAGGAUGAGAAGGAUCUAUUGUAAAGGGAGCAAAUCCUUCAGUAGUGGGAACUGAGGGUGAAGUGAUAUCAUCUCCAUGACUACCCGUAUUUUCUACUAACACAAUCUAAUCGACACAGUAAUAGACAAUAGGCUCAAAAAAUAACAUGCAAUCUGUCAUAUACAUGGAUCUCCAAACUACAUGACCUAAAUCACAUCAAUAUAAGUUUCAGAGUUGUAGAUUAGAACGGUAUUACCAACCUUCUACUCAAAACCAGAAGAAGUGAACAGAAACCAAACCCUAGCUUGAGAUUAGCCCCAAAUCGCUUGAAUUCAUUACGAAAUCAUGAAUUCCAGUCGACUUAAUUGAUAUAAGAAGAGAUUCCAGUAAAAAACCCAAAUUUUCUGUCCCGUAGUAGCGAAUUCACCGAGUUUUCGAACUUUACCCAAAGGACCGAUUUCAGUGAGAUCUUCAAUCGAUUUACCGUUGAAGAUGAAGCUUACAUGGCAAGGAAUCAAAAAUCCCGCUCUGAUACCUUGUCAGGAUGAAGCUCAACGAGCUAUGGUGACUCCAUUAGAAACAGACCCUAGAAGUUCGAGAGAGAAGAAAGAGAAACAGAGAAAUGAAAUUUGGAAAAUAUCCGUCUAACCUUUUAUUUCUCAACUUGUUCAGUAUUUAUAUUUACGGGAAAAAUGUGUGUAAAAUGAAAGAAUCAAUACUACACUUAUACAAUGCAUUGAAUAUAAAAGAAUAAGGAAUAAAGGAG